AAAUUAUGUGAGAUUUGCUGCUGACUAAACACACAGAAGGGUAUCUCAUCAGGAUGGCUGUGUGAACCAGAACUGAACUGUUUACACCAUCACAACGCACAGAUAUGUUGUAACCUGCCUCAAGCCACAAGGGCAAGAAAUACAACAACAACAACAACAACAACAACAACAAC